AUUCUAUGAUGAGUUCAUUUGUCAAGAAGGGAUAUUUCAAUGAAGCAUGGGGCGUUUUACAGGAAAUGGGCGAGAAAGUUUGCCCUUCUGAUGUAGCAACAUACAAUGUCAUAAUCCAAGGAUUGGGAAAGAUGGGAAGGGCUGAUCUUGCUGAUGCCGUACUAGACAAACUAAUGAAGCAGGGAGGUUACCUUGACAUUGUAAUGUAUAACACCUUGAUUAAUGCCCUCGGGAAGGCUGGCAGAAUCGAGGAAGUAAAUAAGCUUUUCCAGCAGAUGAAAGAUAGUGGAAUAAAUCCAGAUGUCGUCACUUACAAUACACUAAUUGAAGUUCAUGCCAAGGCGGGCG
rnacentral:misc_RNA from 1 species